rnacentral:rRNA from 1 species
AAAUUGAAGAGUUUGAUCAUGGCUCAGAUUGAACGCUGGCGGCAGGCCUAACACAUGCAAGUCGAACGGUAACAGGAAGAAGCUUGCUUCUUUGCUGACGAGUGGCGGACGGGUGAGUAAUGUCUGGGAAACUGCCUGAUGGAGGGGGAUAACUACUGGAAACGGUAGCUAAUACCGCAUAACGUCGCAAGACCAAAGAGGGGGAUCUUCGGGCCUCUUGCCAUCGGAUGUGCCCAGAUGGGAUUAGCUUGUUGGUGGGGUAACGGCUCACC